GAUGAAGAACGUAGUGAAAUGCGAUAAGUAAUGUGAAUUGCAGAAUUCAGUGAAUCAUCGAAUCUUUGAACGCACCUUGCACCCUUUGGCAUUCCGAAGGGUAUGCUCGUUUGAGUGUCAUUGUACUCUCACUCUCCCGAUACUUUUGGAUCGGGAGUGGUGGACUUGGGUGCUGCUGCUUAACUGUGGCUCGCCUUAAAUGAAGUAGUGCAACUCUCGGUUGGACAUAGUACGGCGUGAUAAGUGUCUUCGCCGGCGCCUCAUUCGAGGGUGGCCGAUCGGGAGCUCUGUGCUUCAAACUGUCUUCGGACAACAUCUGACAACUUGACCUCAAAUCGAGGAGGACUACCCGCUGAACUUAAGCAUAUCAAUGCGGAGGA
rnacentral:misc_RNA from 1 species